rnacentral:rRNA from 1 species
UACAGAGGUCUCAAGCGUUGUUCGGAUUCAUUGGGCGUAAAGGGUGCGUAGGCGGCGCGGUAAGUCGGGUGUGAAAUCUUGGAGCUUAACUCCGAAACUGCAUUCGAUACUGCCGUGCUUGAGGACUGGAGAGGAGACUGGAAUUUACGGUGUAGCGGUGAAAUGCGUAGAUAUCGUAAGGAAGACCAGUGGGCGAAGGCGGGUCUCCUGGAC